rnacentral:pre_miRNA from 1 species
AUGUAAUCACAGAACCGGUUUUCAUUUUCGAUCUGACUUAUUUUUUUUCUCAAACGAGUGAGAUCACUUUGAAAGCUGAUUUUGUACA